CUACGGGGGGCUGCAGCCGAGAAUAUUCCGCAAUGGACGAAAGUCUGACGGAGCGGCGCCGCGUGCAGGAUGAAGUCCCUCGGGACGUAAACUGCUUUUAUGCGCAAGGAAGUUUUGACCAGCGCACGAAUAAGGGGCUCCUAACUCUGUGCCGGCAGGAGCGGUAAUACAGAGGCCCCAAGCGUUACCCGGAAUCACUGGGCGUAAAGGGUGUGUAGGCGGCUGUGUUAGUCUCUAGUGAAAUCUUUCGGCUCAACCGAAAGGAUGCCUAGGGAAACGGCACAGCUUGAGGAUGUAAGAGGCAUGCGGAACUCACGGUGUAGGGGUAACAUCCGUUGAUAUCGUGGGGAACACCAUAGGCGAAGGCGGCAUGCUGGGACAUUCCUGACGCUGAGGCACGGAAGCGUAGGUAGCGAACGGGAUUAGAUACCCCGGUAGUC
rnacentral:rRNA from 1 species